CCCAAAAACGAAAAAAUAUCUGUCCACCACUUUUACUUUAUAUCAAACAUAAUAAGACUCUUUAUCACUAAGCAUCCACAUUUACUUUAUAUCAAACACAAUAACACUGCUUUAUCACUAAAGCACCCACCACUUUAAUUUACUUUAUAUCAAACACAAUACCACUGCUUUAUCACUCAAAUUACUUUAUAUCCCUGUUCAAAGUGAUACAAAAGACUACUACGGUGCGUUUGUUCGUGCUCAUCCUUCUGCUCCUCAUCUGUUCUACAGUGCAACACCGAAAGGUAUUCCACCAUGGCUUCUUCAUCUAGCUCCACCCCGAAACGUCCAAUCAACGAUCUGCUCUCAAAUAUAAACAAUGUUAUGCCUAUGAAGUUGAAGGUAGAUUCCAACUUUGAUGUCUGGAAAUAUCAGAUGACCGCCAUACUCGGAGCUUACGAUCUCAUGGGUUAUGUCGAUGGCUCGCUCUUACGCUCCGACAAGGCAAUAUGGUGCAGGGAGGAUCAAGCAGUGAUGGCGGCGAUCAAUGCUACACUCUCGCCCAGGGCACUCGAGCAAGUCUGCUACUGCACUACAUCCCGGGGACUAUGGCUUGAACUGCAUGGUUUGCCCUUAUUAUAGUUGGAAGGAAAAUGUUUCAAGUGCAUUUGCUUCGUUUUUCCUUUUCCUUUUCUUUUGAUGCAAGCAAUAUUCUAGUUGCCACUUCUUAUGCACACCGGACUGCGGAGUAGAUUAUUUCAUAAAUAAUCGGGUGCUUUAGAUUUUGGCCCUUACAAUUCAUUAUUUCUAGAUAAAAACUCAUCUAUCUUUAAAAAUCCA